rnacentral:rRNA from 1 species
GACGAACGCUGGCGGCGUGCUUAACACAUGCAAGUCGAACGGUGAUGCUCCAGCUUGCUGGAGUGGAUCAGUGGCGAACGGCUGAGUAACACGUGAGCAACCUGCCCCAGACUCUGGAAUAAGCGCUGGAAACGGCGUCUAAUACUGGAUACGAAACUGGCCCGCAUGGGCAUGGUUUGGAAAGUUUUUCGGUUUGGGAUGGGCUCGCGGCCUAUCAGCUUGUUGGUGAGGUAAUGGCUCACCAAGGCGACGACGGGUAGCCGGCCUGAGAGGGCGACCGGCCACACUGGGACUGAGACACGGCCCAGACUCCUACGGGAGGCAGCAGUGGGGAAUAUUGCACAAUGGGCGAAAGCCUGAUGCAGCGACGCCGCGUGAGGGAUGACGGCCUUCGGGUUGUAAACCUCUUUCAGCAGGGAAGAAGCGAAAGUGACGGUACCUGCAGAAGAAGCACCGGCUAACUACGUG